rnacentral:rRNA from 1 species
GUAGUCUCGCACAGAUGCAUAUCAAUAAGCGGAGGAAAAGAAACUAACAAGGAUUCCCUCAGUAACGGCGAGUGAAGCGGGAAGAGCUCAAAUUUGAAAUCUUGAAAGGUCACCUUUCACGAAUUGUAGUUUAAAGAAGUGUUUUCUGUUACGAUCGUAAUAUAAGUUCUUCGGAAUAGGACAUCACAGAGGGUGAGAAUCCCGUCUAUGAUUGCGAUUUGUAGCUUUGUGAUACACUUUCAAAGAGUCGGGUUGUUUGGGAAUGCAGCCCAAAACGGGAGGUAAAUUUCUUCUAAGGCUAAAUAUUGGCGAGAGACCGAUAGCGAACAAGUACCGUGAGGGAAAGAUGAAAAGAACUUUGAAAAGAGAGUUAAAUAGUACGUGAAAUUGUCAAAAGGGAAGCGUUUAACACCAGUGUUGUUUUCUGAAAAUCAACCUCUGUUAGCUUUAUGCAUGUUUGUUUAGACCUAAUCAGCUAUCUUGCAUGUUCUAUUGUUUGCAGUGGUGCACUUUUCAGUUUACAGGUCAACAUCAGUUUUUUUUACCGUAAAAAAGUUAAAGAAAGGUAGCUCAUGGCUCCGGUCGUGAGUGUUAUAGUCUUUUUCCUAUGCGGUAGGAGAGACUGAGGUCUGCAGUGUAGGCUAUUUGGCUAGAUACUCAGGUGCUAUGUGAUACCAUUUCAUAAACAACUUGUUGAUUAUGUUUUGUCUAUUGCAUACUCGCUUGUACUAUCAUACCUACGCUUAGGAUGUUGAAGAUGUAGCACAUCAU